rnacentral:rRNA from 1 species
GAUGAACGCUGGCGGCGUGCCUAAUACAUGCAAGUCGAGCGAACAGACGAGGCGCUUGCUCCUCUGACGUUAGCGGCGGACGGGUGAGUAACACGUGGAUAACCUACCUAUAAGACUGGGAUAACUUCGGGAAACCGGAGCUAAUACCGGAUAAUAUAUUGAACCGCAUGGUUCAAUAGUGAAAGACGGUUUUGCUGUCACUUAUCGAUGUAUCCGCGCCGCAUUAGCUAGUUGGUAAGGUAAAGGCUUACCAAGGCAACGAUGCGUAGCCGACCUGAGAGGGUGAUCGGCCACACUGGAACUUGAACACGGUCCAGACGCCUACGGGAGGCAGCAGUAGGGAAUCUUCCGCAAUGGGCGAAAGCUUGACGGAGCAACGCCGCGUGAGUGAUGAAGGUCUUCGGAUCGUAAAACUCUGUUAUUAGGGAAGAACAAAUUUGUAAGUAACUAUGCACGUCUUGACGGUACCUAAUCAGAAAGCCACGGCUAACUACGUG